rnacentral:lncRNA from 1 species
CCCAGCUCUUUCCAGACCCCAGAGCCUCUACCCUGAACCCCUGCACUCUACAGGGAGCUCUCCACCUGCAGUUUUGCACCUGGCGUCUCAUAUCUGAGUCUCACAUUACCCUGUCCCUGUCUUCACCCCAGCUGCAGAAGUGCACACCCCUCCCCACCCAGACACUGUGUCUGUGUCUGUGGCCGCGCCCAGGAGGCUGUUGGGGGCGGGGGGGGAGGACAGGUCUCUGAGGGGCCCAGGGCAAAGGUAAUGACAAUUGGUGCUCACACCUGCCUGUGGGAUUUCACCUGGGCGCUCCCUAGCUCUCGCUGGCUUUGUCACCCGGACCGCUCCACGGGUGGCUGCCAUAUCCCACAGUUAAAAGGAGGCUGCAGGGACGGAGGAGCUGCCUCUGCUGCAUGUUGGGCCUCAGGGGGAGGCGGUCUGGUGGACGGGGUCUUCUGAAGUGGGAGGAGGAAAGGCAGAGGAACAGGGUCCAGGGUCCACAGAGGAAGAGCAGGAGGCCCACGGGGAACCUCGACCAAAGUUCUCUGCCAAGGCAGGGCAGGGCCACCUGCCAGGACGUCCAGGCCAAACUCUUGCCUCUUCAGGAGCUGCACUCAAACCCGGAAGCCAAGAGUCAAGCUGAGUCUGGGGGAAAUAAAGUUUAUAAUAAUAGACUUGAAUGUGGAAAAAUAAAGCAAAU